rnacentral:rRNA from 1 species
UGCCAGCAGCCGCGGUAAUACGGAGGGUGCGAACGUUAAUCGGAAUUACUGGGCGUAAAGCGCACGUAGGCGGUUUGUUAAGUGGGAUGUGAAAUCCCCGGGCUCAACCUGGGAAUUGCAUUUCAAACUGACAGACUAGAGUGUAGUAGAGGGAGGUGGAAUUUCCUGUGUAGCGGUGAAAUGCGUAGAUAUAGGAAGGAACACCAGUGGCGAAGGCGACCUCCUGGACUAACACUGACGCUGAGGUGCGAAAGCGUGGGGAGCAAACAGGAUUAGAUA